GACGAACGCUGGCGGCGUGCUUAACACAUGCAAGUCGAACGGAAAGGCCCUGCUUUUGUGGGGUGCUCGAGUGGCGAACGGGUGAGUAACACGUGAGUAACCUGCCCUUGACUUUGGGAUAACUUCAGGAAACUGGGGCUAAUACCGGAUAGGAGCUCCUGCUGCAUGGUGGGGGUUGGAAAGUUUCGGCGGUUGGGGAUGGACUCGCGGCUUAUCAGCUUGUUGGUGGGGUAGUGGCUUACCAAGGCUUUGACGGGUAGCCGGCCUGAGAGGGUGACCGGCCACAAUGGGACUUAGGAACGGCCCCAGCUCCUACAGGAAGCAGCAGUUGGGAAUUUUUCACCAUUGGCCGAAGCCUUAUGCAGCAACGGCGCGUUCGGGAUUACGGCCUUCGGGUUUUAAACCGCUUUCGCCCGUUACGAAGCCGUAGUGGCGGUAAUUGGUUAAGAAGCACCGGCUAACUACGUG
rnacentral:rRNA from 1 species